UACGAAGGGGGCUAGCGUUGCUCGGAAUUACUGGGCGUAAAGCGCACGUAGGCGGCUUUCUAAGUCGGGGGUGAAAUCCUGGAGCUCAACUCCAGAACUGCCUUCGAUACUGGAGAGCUUGGAGUCCGGGAGAGGUGAGUGGAACUGCGAGUGUAGAGGUGAAAUUCGUAGAUAUUCGCAAGAACACCAGUGGCGAAGGC
rnacentral:rRNA from 1 species